UGGAGCUCCCUAAAUGCUCUGGAGGUACUAAAUCCCAUCUGAUCUCAGAAGCUAAGUAGGGGUAGGUCUGGCUAGUAGUUGGAAGGAAAUUUGCCAGGGAAUAUCAAGUGCUGUUAUAU
rnacentral:rRNA from 1 species